rnacentral:rRNA from 1 species
CCUACGGGUGGCAGCAGUGGGGAAUAUUGCACAAUGGGGGAAACCCUGAUGCAGCGACGCCGCGUGAGUGAAGAAGUAAUUCGUUAUGUAAAGCUCUAUCAGCAGGGAAGAAAAUGACGGUACCUGAGUAAGAAGCCCCGGCUAACUACGUGCCAGCAGCCGCGGUAAUACGUAGGGGGCAAGCGUUAUCCGGAUUUACUGGGUGGAAAGGGAGCGUAGACGGCAGUGCAAGUCUGGAGUGAAAGGCGGGGGCUCAACCCACGGACUGCUCUGGAAACUGUACGGCUGGAGUGCAGGAGAGGUAAGUGGAAUUCCUAGUGGAGCGGUGAAAUGCGUAGAUAUUAGGAGGAACACCAGUGGCGAAGGCGGCUUACUGGACUGUAACUGACGUUGAGGCUCGAAAGCGUGGGGAGCAAACAGGAUUAGAUACCCCUGUAGUC